AAUAGAUACCCCGGUAGUCCACCCCGUAAACGUUGGGAACUAGUUGUGGGGUCCUUUCCACGGAUUCCGUGACGCAGCUAACGCAUUAAGUUCCCCGCCUGGGGAGUACGGCCGCAAGGCUAAAACUCAAAGGAAUUGACGGGGACCCGCACAAGCGGCGGAGCAUGCGGAUUAAUUCGAUGCAACGCGAAGAACCUUACCAAGGCUUGACAUACACCAGAACACCCUAGAAAUAGGGGACUCUUUGGACACUGGUGAACAGGUGGUGCAUGGUUGUCGUCAGCUCGUGUCGUGAGAUGUUGGGUUAAGUCCCGCAACGAGCGCAACCCUCGUUCUAUGUUGCCAGCACAUAAUGGUGGGAACUCAUGGGAUACUGCCGGGGUCAACUCGGAGGAAGGUGGGGAUGACGUCAAAUCAUCAUGCCCCUUAUGUCUUGGGCUUCACGCAUGCUACAAUGGCCGGUACAAAGGGCUGCAAUACCGUGAGGUGGAGCGAAUCCCAAAAACGCCGGUCCCAGUUCGGAUUGAGGUCUGCAACUCGACCUCA
rnacentral:rRNA from 1 species